UACGGGGGGUGCGAGCGUUGUCCGGAAUCACUGGGCGUAAAGCGCGCGCAGGCGGCAUGGCAAGUAAGGUGUGAAAUCUCCCUGCCUAACGGGGAGGGUGCAUUUUAGACUGCCAAGCUAGAGGACGGUAGAGGGGGGUAGAAUUGCUGGUGUAGCGGUGAAAUGCGUAGAGAUCAGCAGGAAUACCCGUGGCGAAGGCGGCCCCCUGGGCCGAACCUGAUGCUGAGGCGCGAAGGCUAGGGGAGCGAACGGG
rnacentral:rRNA from 1 species